CCCACUCGCCCACGUCGCCCUCGGUCUUUCCCAUCCGCGCCCGCCCAUUCCUGCUCCACGUCAGCCGCCUCCCGGUUGCAAACUACGCCUCCGUCUCCGAUCCCGGCACGGCGGCACAGUUCGAAGCUCCCAACGUCUCGGCCGUCUCCGGCCUGCCUGCCCGAUUCCAUCCCCAUGUCCGCCACCACCACCGAGUCCCCGGAGAGCCCGGAGCGGCGAUCAGAUGCGGUUGCGUGGCUACGGUCGUUGUUGGCGGGCUCUGGCCUGCCUCUGCCCCCGCCGCACGUGUCCGACGACGACCUACGGUCCUUUCUCGCCGAUGGCGUGAUCCUCGGCGCAGCGCUACGCAGGCUCGGAUGUGCUUCUACGUCCAACCAGGGCGGAGCCUCAGCGGCGGCGGCGGCGGGGAGUGAUGUCGAGAGGUUCGUCGCGGCAAUGGAGCGCCUGGGCCUUCCCAGCUUUGCCGCCUCUGACCAUGACAGGGGCCCAAUGUUAGCUGUCAUAGUCUGUCUUCUUGCACUGAGGGGUCUGUUUGGUUCCAAUGUUGGGGAAGGCUUGCAUUGUAGCCUUGAAGCAAAAAGUAGGAUGCACAACAUGGAGUUUCCCAUAAGGGUGAACGGCUGCUGUACUCAAAAUUGUCAGUCUAGAGAAAAGGGUGAAGGGAGCAUACCAAAGGUCUCCAGAAGUCCAGCUACGUCAGAGCCAUCAUCUCCGAUAUCAAUGCCUGAACUAUCUUCUAUUUCAAGGCACACUCGACAUAAUUUUCAUGAAGUCUUCCAUCUGAGACAAGGAAUUUACUCUGACAUGCCUAUUUCUAAAGUUUUGGAGAUAAUGAAAUCCACCAACUUGGAUAAUGCCCCUACUCAGUCACUUUUGAGUUUUGUGAAUGCCAUCCUUGAUCGGAUCAUUGAAAAUGAGAAUGGAGAAAUUCCUUAUAAUAUCGCUUGCUUGUUGAGAAAGGUAAUAAUGGAGAUUGAACGCCGCAUUUCUACUCAAGCAGAACACAUAAGAAAUCAAAAUAGCCUUAUCAGAGCACGUGAAGAGAAAUAUAAAUCAAGGAUAAGAGUACUAGAGGCACUUGCAAGUGGGACAGGUGGACAAAUGCAAAUAAAUUCAAGUGCGGCAAAUGGAAAAAUAAAUAUUGCUGAAGAUCAUGUGCUCCAGAUGAUGAUAAACAAAAGCAAAAUUGGAGAAAGAAGAUUAGUUGAUAAAGAUAUGUCAAGCUUGAUGGCUCAGAAGGAAGAUGUAGCUAGAUUGACAAAGGAUAAGGAAGAUAUGGUUAGGCUGCUGAAAGAUAAGGAAGAUAUAAUUAGAUUGAUGAAAGAGAAGGAAGAAAUGGUUUUGCUGAUUAAGGAGAAAGAUGAUAUGGUUACCUCGAGGAAGGAGAAGAUUGAUGGAAGAGAUCAAUCAGCCAAUGCAUAUGCGAAUAAAUCAACUACAUAUAAUGAUGAAACCAUUAGGAUGAUAAAGGAAAAAGAAGACAGUAAUAUUACAAUUAUGAAACUAAAGAGCAAAUUGGAAGCUGUAAAAUCAUUAUUUGAAGAGAGCCACAACCAGUUAGAAUCUGCAAAGGAGGAGGUUCUUAAGCUUCAAAAGGACAAGGAAAAUAGUGCCAAUAUAAUAUCAAAACUCAGGCAAGAGCUUUCGUUAGCACAUGAAUCUUAUAAGACACAUAUUCAAGAACUGGAGAGUAGUGCUUUGCAGGCAAGCAAAUUCUUUGAACAUAGAAUAAAAGAAGUAGAUCUCAUGCUCGAAGAUUCUAUAAAGAAAAGAACAGAUCUAGAGGAAGUAUUAAAAUCUAGAAUGGAUACUUGGAAGAAGAAGGAAAUCAUGGUGAAUCAAGUUUUACGUCUACAAAUACAGAGCAUCCAGGAUUUGAGGUUAUCUUCUGUUUCCAUUAGGCAUGAAAUCCAAAACUGCCAGCGAAGAUGGUCUGAAGAACUUAAUGGCCUUGGACAAAGUCUCAACAUACUGAUAAAUGAUUCUGAAAAUUAUCAUGCUGCUUUAGAAGAAAAUAGAAAAUUAUACAACGAGAUUCAGGAACUAAAAGGAAAUAUAAGAGUCUACUGCCGGAUAAGGCCUUUUAUUCCUGGGGAGGAUCAGAAAUCUACUACAAUUAAAUAUGUUGGUGAUAAUGGGGAUCUGAUAAUUGCAAAUCCCACACGCCAUGGAAAAGAGGGGAGCAAGUCGUUCAAAUUCAACAAAGUUUUUGGCCCCACUACUUCUCAAGAUGACGUAUUCAAGGACAUUGAACCACUUAUUAGAUCAGUUCUUGAUGGUUAUAAUGUUUGCAUUUUUGCGUAUGGUCAAACUGGAUCAGGGAAAACAUACACAAUGACUGGACCUGAAAAUGCAACAGAGAAUGAAUGGGGUGUCAAUUACAGAGCUCUGAAUGAUCUGUUCCAUAUUUCACAUAAUCGUGGGGAUACCAUCAUGUAUGAAAUAAAUGUUCAAAUGAUUGAGAUAUACAAUGAACAAAUCCGUGAUCUUCUUUGCAGCAAUGGUUCAGAGAAGAAGUUAGAGAUUAUGAAUGCCAGCCAACCCAAUGGGCUUGUCGUUCCUGAUGCAACGGUGCAUCCUGUUAAUUCAACAUCCGAUGUUAUUGAGUUAAUGAGAAUAGGACAUGCAAACAGAGCAGUGGGUUCGACAAUGUUGAAUGAAAGAAGCAGCAGAUCUCACAGUAUUGUUACCAUACACAUUCGAGGUGUAGAUUUGAAAACAGGAGCUACUCUGUGUGGUGCACUACAUCUUGUUGAUCUUGCUGGGAGUGAGAGAGUGGACCGAUCUUCUGUUACAGGCAAUAGACUUAAAGAAGCACAACACAUAAACAAAUCUUUGUCCGCUCUUGGAGACGUCAUAUUUUCUCUACCGCAGAAGAAUGCUCAUGUACCCUACCGGAACAGCAAACUUACACAAGUCCUACAGAGUUCUUUGGGCGGCCAUGCAAAAACCUUGAUGUUUGUGCAGAUCAACCCAGAUGUCUCAUCUUAUUCGGAGACUUUAAGUACUUUGAAGUUUGCUGAAAGGGUUUCUGGAGUGGAGCUAGGUGCCUCAAAGGCGAAUAAAGAAGGCAAAGAUAUUAGAGAAUUUAUGGAACAGCUCUCACUGCUCAAACAUAAAAUGGCAAAGAAAGAUGACGAAAUUAACAGAUUACAACAACUCAAGACGCAAACUCCAAGGGUCAGGACUGCAAAACGUGCAGAUUCCCCAUUGAAACAUUCGUCGUCGUCCCCAGGCAUAUCUAAUUUAGGAAGCAAAAUCCAACAUAGAAGGACAGUAUCAAGUGGAAAGGCAAUGAGCAUUGCCAGUAGAGCUGGGUCUGAUACCUUCUCUGACACCAGUGACAGGCACUCUGAAUCUGGUUCUAUGCAGUCUGUUGAUGAUAUCCUACCACGUAGGGGGAUUAUGGGUCUUCCGAAGCUCUCUAUUGGUGAAAUGGGUCAGAAUUCUGCUGACCCUGAGCUUGUUUGCUUUGACUAUGCUGAUUCAGAAGAGAGAUUAAGUGAUAUAUCAGAUAGUGGUCUUUCCAUGGGUACAGAGACGGAUGUUUCAGUAAGCAGUAUAGUUGAGUUGACACGUUUUCAGGAGCAGGAAAACAUACCUAGCACUCUGAAAGAACAAGAGAGUGCACGAAAAAUUCCAAAUGAUCAGUUGUCCAAGGUGGCCACCCGAGUUCAGAAGACAACAGUACCCAAACUAGCUCAAACUUCCUUGUGGCCUAAACUAAGAGAUCCUCCAGCCCUUAGAUCCCCAGCUACAAAGCUGGUCGAUGCUUCGAGGGUGACGAUUGGUGCUGCAACGAAAGACUCAACUAUCUCAUAGUCGUCCACGUCGUAUGAUCCUCCAUGCUCAUCCUCAAUGAUUGUGUAGAAUGAUACAUUCAUGCAUGAUUACACUGAGUACUUGAUAGAAAAAGGAACGACUUGGGGUAGCGACAAUAUGAAAUCUACAUCCUUCUGUGUACCCUCUUGGCAUACAACAAGCAUCUGCUUCUUCGUAGUCCAUGGGAGGGGAAUUGCCUUCACAAACACCGGCCACUGAGGGUACAUGCCAUCGGUGAUAUAGUGUCCUUGGUUGUACUUGUGACCUCUCACUGUGAAGUUCACCCUUGAGCACAUCAGUGAAGAACGACGAAUGGUUGAGCAUGUUCAUGUCACUGCCCGACCCUGCCACCCUAAAAUAAGCAUGUUGUUGAGUUCUGACAAGCGGGACCCGAACAAAGGGAACAACGGGGCACAACAACAAGACAAAUAUGAAAAUGUGGUUCUCAAAUGUCUUGUCAACUAUCUCCUCACCUCGUCUGGACACAAUAUUUAUAGGGUAACCAAGGGGUAGCCUACCAAAGUAAAGGUUUGUCCUUGGUUAUUACCUGCUACAUCCUAAGGAUAUGUUGUACAACAGUGUAAAUGGGAACCAUUACAACCCUAGUAAUACAAGCACCCAAUUAUGUACCCACACCAGAAUAAUGACAUGCUUGAUAUUGAUAGAUGGGGCCUACUGUAGCUACGGGGGGCAUUUUGCCCAUACCUCCUUGAUACUCUCCUCGACCCUAAGUGUGGGUUGCCUUCAAGGUGAGUCUUUGAUACUGCUCAUGUGCUCCCCGCUUAGGCCCUUGCCUGCUUGACAGGUGGGCGUCAGACUCCGUCCAUAGUGAGAUUUUCUCUAUGGCCUUCGCUGCCUACAUGGAGAGGUAACUAGUGGGUGGUGGACUCCGCCCAUAGCGAGGUCUUCGCUAUGACCUUCGUUGUAUAUGUCAGAGAGGUGGUGGUCGUAGGCAUCGACCCACAUUGAAGAGCUUAGCUCUGUGAGGGGCGAAGUCUCUUCCGACGGUCUUCGUGGCCUUCGGCAAAUCCUUCGUUCAUGGGAGCCCUUAGCAAGGUCGAUGCUAAGGCCUCAGUAACAUUUGAUAGAAGGAUGGUGGUCGUAGGCAUCGUCUCAUGUCGAAGGUUCUUACUCGAAACGAAGUCUCUUUAGCAUUCCUUAUGGCCUUCGAUGAACCCUGCAUGCAUGGGAGAGAAAUAUGGUAAGUGAUUAGAUGUAGCUAGACGAGCUAAUGAUCGAGGUCCCGUUUGGCCUUCUCCCCAACACAUUCAAGUCCACAAGUCAUAUGAGGCAACCACCUCGAGCAUGUGGUCGGGGUCCAAUGUUUGUCCUUGUAAAUUGUCCUCUCCAUCCAAUGGGAUAGUACCUCCACUUCCAAUGCAUGCAAUCUAUACUCCCUAUCAUACCAAGAAACCCUAUUUCCCCCCCCCCCUUAGCUUACGGUCGCCUGAGAUCGUCAACAGUGAGACGACGACUGUACUUCAUGCCAAAACAUGAAAUAUCACCUCUACAGAAUAGUCUGAGGCAUUCUAAGGUGGAAAUUGUCUCCAUUUUGAUGUACUUAUUAAUGGAGUCAACAACUCUGCGUACGCAAGCAUGCAUAUGGCAGUUGUGCACUUCUGGUGGGGGCAAAAACUAAUGUGGUUGAGUGCAUCGGUUCUAAGAGUGAAGUAGGGGGAGUACUCACCCAACCUCCAAGAUUUGAAUGUAGGAACUCCUCCGCAUGCGGUACCUUCGACGAAAGUAGAGCAACACGGGUCAUUGAAGUAGUCUUGCAUCAACAUGUCGUGGCGGCUACACGGUCGUGGGCGAUGUAGCUCCGAUGUUGCUUCCUUCAUCUUCUCAUCAUGGAAGACUCAGAGGCCAUAUUUGACAUCUGCUGCAUUAUAGUUUGAUGCAGCAACUCGAUCACCUCGUCUUGGGUCAUGUCAAUGUUCGAACUUGACAAAGACAUCUCAACACUGUUUUACUUGAAUGAAAGGAGGGGAGUGGAGUGUGAGGCGAUAGAGAAAUUCAAAGUGGAGAAUCACAACACAAACAAUAUCUGUACCAAGGACGUCCAUGACUUCGAAGAGAUGGACAUAAGUCAAGUUUGAUCAACAUGUUCUAACACUAGUUUAUGGUUUUGUACAGCACAAUCGAAAAGUAAUUCAUUCCAAUUGAUGAACUUUGUACAGCACUUGAUUCUUUCAGGAAAAAAUGGCAGUUAGUUUUCUAUA